rnacentral:rRNA from 1 species
GAACGCGAAGAACCUUACCAUCCCUUGACAUGUCGUGCCAUCCGGAGAGAUCCGGGGUUCCCUUCGGGGACGCGAACACAGGUGCUGCAUGGCUGUCGUCAGCUCGUGUCGUGAGAUGUUGGGUUAAGUCCCGCAACGAGCGCAACCCACGUCCUUAGUUGCCAUCAUUCAGUUGGGCACUCUAGGGAGACUGCCGGUGAUAAGCCGCGAGGAAGGUGUGGAUGACGUCAAGCCCUCAUGGCCCUUACGGGAUGGGCUACACACGUGCUACAAUGGCGGUGACAGUGGGACGCGAAACCGCGAGGUUGAGCAAAUCCCCAAAAACCGUCUCAGUUCAGAUUGCACUCUGCAACUCGAGUGCAUGAAGGCGGAAUCGCUAGUAAUCGUGGAUCAGCAUGCCACGGUGAAUACGUUCCCGGGUCUUGUACACACC